rnacentral:rRNA from 1 species
GGGCCCGCACAAGCGGUGGAGUAUGUGGUUUAAUUCGAUGCAACGCGAAGAACCUUACCAGGGUUUGACAUCCUGCGAAUCUCUUGGAAACAGGAGAGUGCCUUCGGGAACGCAGUGACAGGUGGUGCAUGGCUGUCGUCAGCUCGUGUCGUGAGAUGUUGGGUUAAGUCCCGCAACGAGCGCAACCCACGUCUUUAGUUGCCAGCAUUUAGUUGGGCACUCUAGAGAGACUGCCGGUGAUAAACCGGAGGAAGGUGAGGAUGACGUCAAGUCAGCAUGCCCCUUAUACUCUGGGCUACACACGUGCUACAAUGAUUAAGACAAAGAGUUGCAACCUUGUAAAAGUAAGCUAAUCUUCGAAACUUAAGCAAAGUUCAAAUUGUAGUCUGCAAUUCGACUACAUGAAGUUGGAAUCGCUAGUAAUCG